AAACAAGCCGUAUGCACUGUGUGGAUUUUUAAGAGGAAUGGGUGAAAGUGACGAUGCUUUGAAUCGCUUGUGUCUCAAAGAUGGAAUAUGUAAAGGGCUAGAUUAAGCGGACAGAUGUUUAUAUCUAUGAAGUGUUUAUUCAUCUGUGACUCGUUUUCAUUUCAAAAUAAAUUGUUGCAAUUUAUUAUAAUUGUAA